rnacentral:rRNA from 1 species
GGUUAAGUUAGAAAGGGCGCACGGUGAAUGCCUUGGCACUAGGAGCCGAUGAAGGACGGGACUAACACCGAUAUGCUUCGGGGAGCUGUAAGUGAGCUUUGAUCCGGAGAUUUCCGAAUGGGGAAACCCACUGUUCGUAAUGGAACAGUAUCUUUAUCUGAAUACAUAGGAUAUUGAAGGCAGACCCGGGGAACUGAAACAUCUAAGUACCCGGAGGAAGAGAAAGCAAAUGCGAUUUCCUGAGUAGCGGCGAGCGAAACGGAAUUAGCCCAAACCAAGAGGCUUGCCUCUUGGGGUUGUAGGACACUCUAUACGGAGUUACAAAGGAACGAAGUAAAUGAAGCGACCUGGAAAGGUCCGUCGAAGAAGGUAACAACCCUGUAGUUGAAACUUCGUUCCCUCUUGAGUGGAUCCUGAGUACGGCGGAACACGUGAAAUUCCGUCGGAAGCUGGGAGGACCAUCUCCCAAGGCUAAAUACUACCUAGUGACCGAUAGUGAACCAGUACCGUGAGGGAAAGGUGAAAAGCACCCCGGAAGGGGAGUGAAAGAGAUCCUGAAACCGUGUGCCUACAAGUAGUCAGAGCCCGUUAACGGGUGAUGGCGUGCCUUUUGUAGAAUGAACCGGCGAGUUACGAUCCCAUGCAAGGUUAAGCUGAUAAGGCGGAGCCGUAGCGAAAGCGAGUCUGAAUAGGGCGUUUAGUAUGUGGUUGUAGACCCGAAACCAGGUGAUCUACCCAUGUCCAGGGUGAAGUUCAGGUAACACUGAAUGGAGGCCCGAACCCACGCACGUUGAAAAGUGCGGGGAUGAGGUGUGGGUAGCGGAGAAAUUCCAAUCGAACCUGGAGAUAGCUGGUUCUCUCCGAAAUAGCUUUAGGGCUAGCCUCAUGUUGUGAGAGUCUUGGAGGUAGAGCACUGAUUGGACUAGGGGCCCCCAACGGGUUACCGAAUUCAGUCAAACUCCGAAUGCCAAAGACUUAUCCAUGGGAGUCAGACUGCGAGUGAUAAGAUCCGUAGUCAAAAGGGAAACAGCCCAGACCACCAGCUAAGGUCCCCAAGUAUACGUUAAGUGGAAAAGGAUGUGGAGUUGCUUAGACAACCAGGAUGUUGGCUUAGAAGCAGCCACCAUUUAAAGAGUGCGUAAUAGCUCACUGGUCGAGUGACUCUGCGCCGAAAAUGUACCGGGGCUAAACGUAUCACCGAAGCUGUGGAUUGACAUCUUUGAUGUCAGUGGUAGGAGAGCGUUCUAAGUGCAGCGAAGUCAGACCGUAAGGACUGGUGGAGCGCUUAGAAGUGAGAAUGCCGGUAUGAGUAGCGAAAGACAAGUGAGAAUCUUGUCCACCGAAUGCCUAAGGUUUCCUGAGGAAGGCUCGUCCGCUCAGGGUUAGUCGGGACCUAAGCCGAGGCUGAAAAGCGUAGGCGAUGGCCAACAGGUUGAUAUUCCUGUACCACCUCCCCGCCGUUUGAGUAAUGGGGGGACGCAGUAGGAUAGGGUAAGCGCGCUGCUGGAUAUGCGCGUUCAAGCAGUUAGGCUGAUGAGUAGGCAAAUCCGCUCAUCAUAAAGGCUGAGCUGUGAUGACGAGGGAAUUAUAGUACCGAAGUUCCUGAUUCCACACUGCCAAGAAAAGCCUCUAGCGAGGCGGGAGGUGCCCGUACCGCAAACCGACACAGGUAGGCGAGGAGAGAAUCCUAAGGUGAUCGAGAGAACUCUCGUUAAGGAACUCGGCAAAAUGACCCCGUAACUUCGGGAGAAGGGGUGCUCUGGUAGGGUGUAUAGCCCGAGAGAGCCGCAGUGAAUAGGCCCAGGCGACUGUUUAGCAAAAACACAGGUCUCUGCGAAGCCGCAAGGCGAAGUAUAGGGGCUGACGCCUGCCCGGUGCUGGAAGGUUAAGAGGAGGGGUUAUCCUUUGGGAGAAGCUCUGAAUCGAAGCCCCAGUAAACGGCGGCCGUAACUAUAACGGUCCUAAGGUAGCGAAAUUCCUUGUCGGGUAAGUUCCGACCCGCACGAAAGGCGUAACGAUCUGGGCACUGUCUCAACGAGAGACUCGGUGAAAUUAUAGUACCUGUGAAGAUGCAGGUUACCCGCGACAGGACGGAAAGACCCCGUGGAGCUUUACUGUAGCCUGAUAUUGAAUUUUGGUACAGCUUGUACAGGAUAGGUAGGAGCCUGAGAAGCCGGAGCGCUAGCUUCGGUGGAGGCGUCGGUGGGAUACUACCCUGGCUGUAUUGAAAUUCUAACCCGCGGCCCUGAUCGGGCCGGGAGACAGUGUCAGGUGGGCAGUUUGACUGGGGCGGUCGCCUCCUAAAAUGUAACGGAGGCGCCCAAAGGUUCCCUCAGAAUGGUUGGAAAUCAUUCGUAGAGUGUAAAGGCACAAGGGAGCUUGACUGCGAGACCUACAAGUCGAGCAGGGACGAAAGUCGGGCUUAGUGAUCCGGUGGUUCCGCAUGGAAGGGCCAUCGCUCAACGGAUAAAAGCUACCCCGGGGAUAACAGGCUUAUCUCCCCCAAGAGUCCACAUCGACGGGGAGGUUUGGCACCUCGAUGUCGGCUCAUCGCAUCCUGGGGCUGUAGUCGGUCCCAAGGGUUGGGCUGUUCGCCCAUUAAAGCGGUACGCGAGCUGGGUUCAGAACGUCGUGAGACAGUUCGGUCCCUAUCCGUCGUGGGCGUAGGAAAUUUGAGAGGAGCUGUCCUUAGUACGAGAGGACCGGGAUGGACACACCGCUGGUGUACCAGUUGUCUUGCCAAAGGCAUCGCUGGGUAGCUAUGUGUGGACGGGAUAAGUGCUGAAAGCAUCUAAGCAUGAAGCCCCCCUCAAGAUGAGAUUUCCCAUAGCGCAAGCUAGUAAGAUCCCUGAAAGAUGAUCAGGUUGAUAGGUCAGAGGUGGAAGCAUGGCGACAUGUGUAGCUGACUGAUACUAAUCGAUCGAGGACUUAACCAA